rnacentral:rRNA from 1 species
CGUCUAUAUACGUAUAGCAUAUCAAUAAGCGGAGGAAAAGAAACUAACUAGGAUUCCCUUAGUAACGGCGAGUGAAGCGGGAAGAGCUCAAAUUUGAAAUCUUCAAGGUUCUACCUUGACGAAUUGUAGUUUAUAAGAAGUGUUUUCUGUUAGUGAGUUGGCUAAAAGUUCCUUGGAAUAGGACAUCAUAGAGGGUGAGAAUCCCGUAUUUGGUCAUUCCUCCUAGCUUUGUGAUACACUUUCAACGAGUCGGAUUGUUUGGGAAUGCAGUCCAAAAUGGGUGGUAAAUUUCAUCUAAAGCUAAAUAUUGGCGAGAGACCGAUAGCGAACAAGUAGCCGUGAGGGAAAGAUGAAAAGAACUUUGAAAAGAGAGUUAAACAGUACGUGAAAUUGUCAAAAGGGAAGCGUUUGACACCAGUGUUGUUUUUCCGAAAAUCAAUUACGAAUGUUUUGUUUUUAAGGAGUUAUGACUUCAUCGGCUUGCUUCUUUCUUUACGAAACUUUCUUAAUGCACUUUUCGGUUAACAAGUCAACAUCAAUUUCUUUUGUUGUAAAAGGGUAUGAGGAAGGUGGCUUUCUUUUCGGAGAAAGUGUUUAUAGCCUUGUGCCUCUACAAUCGGAGAGAUUGAGGUCUGCAGCGUAGAUCCUUCGGGGUUAGAUACGUUUGUGCUAAGUUAUAGCUUUUCAUAGACAACUUGUUGACUAUGUUUAGUCUUGUAGCUUACUCGCUGACGCUAUUUUACCUACGCUUAGGAUGUUGACUGAUAUGUAGUCGU